CCAUGCAAGCAGAACGGAAAGUAAUGAGUGAUUUGUGCUGAAAAUCAGGUUAGUGGCGGACGGGUGCGUAACACGUGGGCAACCUGCCCUGCUUUUCGGAAUAACGCCGGGAAACCGUCGCUAAUGCCGAAUGAUAUGAGAAGAAGGCAUCUUCUUUUCAUCAAAGAAUUUCGAAGCAGGAUGGGCCCGCGCCGGAUUAGCUGGUUGGUGAGGUAACGGCUCACCAAGGCGACGAUCCGUAGCCGACCUGAGAGGGUGAUCGGCCACACUGGAACUGAGACACGGUCCAGACUCCUACGGGAGGCAGCAGUGGGGAAUAUUGCACAAUGGGCGAAAGCCUGAUGCAGCAACGCCGCGUGAGCGAUGAAGGCUUUCGAGUCGUAAAGCUCUGU
rnacentral:rRNA from 1 species